rnacentral:tRNA from 1 species
UAGGAAUUUAGUUAAAUGGUAUAACAUCAGAUCUACACUCUUAAAUUAAUGGUUCAAUUCCAUUAGUUCUAU